CUGAAGAAAAAAAGUCAUAUACAUCUUGGAUGGCCUGAGGGGUAAGUAAAUUAACCAAGUGUGUCUGACUGAGUCCUGCAGUACUACAAGCCACGCCCCUACUAAUUACGCCCCCUACCUCAAGUUAUGCCCCCUACAAUGAAACAGCCAUUCCAGAGCCCCCUCCUUUGGAAUUGGGAAACUCUACAGUAAAUUUUAUUUUUAUGGAAGGGGUAGAUUUAGGGUAGUUUUAGGUUUUUAGCUAUAAUUACCAUGAGUCUGUAUUAAUUUGAUAGCAUAAUUUAUUUUAUGUUUUACUUAAUAAGAUUCGAAAGCAAAAUAAGCUCGUUUUACAAACAUCUCAUACAUAAAACAAAAUAAUUUACUUCAAAAGAUUGUUUUAGUCAAUGAUAUCUACGCUUGUUUCUUUACGGCAGACGUAACUUGUUGUAGUAGGUGUAAUUUCUCAAAUUAACAGCAAUUUUUAAUUUUUGGGUGAUCUGUUCCUUUAACAUAUGCUCAGCAGUGUCAGAAAUGAAUUUUUUUCAUUCAAAGGACCAGUUUUGUACCUUUGUACCAAAUUUUUCAAGAUAUACUGCCAUUCAAAAGUUUGAGGUCAGUAAGAUUUUUUUAAAAGAAAUUAAUACUUUUUUUCAGAAAGUAUGCAAUAAAUUGAUAAAGUUACAGUAAAGACAUUUAUAAUAUUACAAAAGAUUUCUAUUUCAAAUAAAUGUUAUAUUAAAAUUUCUAUUCAUCAAAGAAUCCUGAUUUCACAAAAAUAUUAUUCAGCACAACAAUUUCCAACAUUGAUAAUAGUGAGAGAUGUUACUUGAGCAGCAAAUCAGCAUAUUAGAAUGAUUUCUGAAGGAUCAUGUGACACUAAAGACUGGAGUAAUGAUGCUGAAAAUUUAGCAUUGCCAUCACAAGAAUAAAUCACAUUUUAAAAUAUAUUAAAAUAGAUUAAAAUUGUAAUAAUACUUCACAACCUCUCUGUACUGUACUGUAUUUUUGAUCAAAUAAAUGCAAUCUUGGUGAGUAUAAGAGACUGAAACCCAACGUUUGUAUGGUGUUUCAAUCUUUAACUACAUAGUCCUAGAAUAGAAUAUUGUGAAAUAAGUGCAGAGGAAUGAAUAAAAACAGUGAAAUGCAAAAUAUAUUACACAAACCUGAAAUAAUUAAAUACAGUAUGUUAUAUAAUACAAAUAUACUUUAUGUAUUUGAUCUCACUUUAUCUUUGCUGCUGACCUUCGAUGAUCCAAUAAGCAAAACUGACUUUAGUUAAACAUCACAUUUGUGUUUCAUUUUGUUUUUAUUGCUGAAGUAAGAGUGUUGAACUUUCUUCUCCUGCAAAAAUAUUUUUAUAAUUAAUAUUUUUAUAUUAAUACUUGUUUUUAAAAAACAAACAAGCAAGCCCAGCAUAAUGCUAUAUUGGUCUGAAAGAGACAGAUCUACAGCUAGCUGAAGGGAGAAAAAGUAACGCAAAAGUAAUGUAGUACAUUACUAUGGAAGAUGAAAAAGUCACAAUUACCUUUUUUAUUUUUAAUUCAGUGGCGGAAACGAGCUUCCAUUCAUUACUUUUCAUAAAAAGCAGCUACAUAACAUAAUUGAUUACUUUUUUAGGGAGUAACGCAAUAUAGUAACACAUUACUUUUAAAAGUAACUUUCCCCAACACUGCUGAUUAAUAGUUAGCUUUUAUAAGAGAAAGUAGCUCUCUUGUUACUUUUGAUCAAGACCUAAUAAAAAUCCGUACUCCACUCACAGUUUAAGGAAGUGUGUGCAUAUGUGUGUUUGUCUAAUCUUGCCCUGCCUCAGGCUGUUACACUUAAGCAUAUCCUGGUUUACUGGUCAUUAGAUGGUUUCAUGGCUGUGCCGGUGUGCGAGAGAGCAACAGAGAGGCCACCAUAAGCCCCCUGGCUGCUUGCUUAAUGAACAGGUGUAUCCACAUUCACAGCUGCCAUUAUGUCCAUAUGAAUUGGCUUUUAUCCUGUUUACUCACAAAGCUCUAUUUCCUUUUAACUUUAAAACAAUGUGUCAUCUUUAUGGUGCGAAAUGGCAGGAUUUUACAUAGGAAACUUCAAUAACAGUGUUUGUUUAGGAGAGCCUGUUGUACAGACCUGAUUCCUGAGGGUGUUCUGUUUGUCAGAUCUGUGCUCAGAGUUAAAGAGUAACCUGAACGCAGACUCACCUGCAGGGGUCACACCUUCUUCAGUACACAUGGACCUUAGUCUGGGAUCUGCUGGAAGAACAAUGUUUCUGAGGGUGGCAGAGCUCAGGGCCGAUAACCCGAAGGUUGCUGGUGUGAGCCAUGAACUAUCAUCAUUGUGCCCUGUAAUAAGUUUAAUGCAAGUUGCUUUGGAUAACGACUUCUGCUAAAUUACCACCUACACUUCCUUUCAAAAGUUUGAGGUUGGUAAGAUUUUUAAGAAGCAAUCGAGUCCCUGAAGACUGACCAUCCUAAAAUUGUCAGUAUAAUAGAAAAAGUGGAUUGCAUGGUUUUAAUAUUGUUUCUUGUUGGAUACCGGGCCAUAUGGGACUGGUUGGGAAUGAACUGGCAGAUAAAGCUGCUAAGGAAGCCCUACAGCUGGAUGUCAAAUACCAACAUUUGAUGUUAAAACAAUUCUGAGUGUGUAUGUUUCCAAAAAGUGGCAAAUGGAGUAGGAUGAAUGUGUCUAUAACAAAUGUUUUUAUUUUGAAAAUAGAAAUGACCAUGUCGGAUCGGUCACACAAGACUUACUCAUGUAUAUUUAUUGAAAGGGAUAAAUUUCUGCCUUUAUGUGAUUUUUGUAAGUGUUCCUUGACUGUGAAGCGUAUUUUAUUGGAAUGUCCUACUUUAAAUGAUAUUAGGCAAUGUUCUUAUUCAGAAAGUACAUUAAUGGACAUUUUAAAAAAGAUUUCUCCUGGAAAAGUAUUCAAAUUUUUAUCGAAUAUCAAAUUUGAUAGAUAUCUAUUAUUAUGGAAUUGUUGUUUUGGCUGUUAUAUAUACAAUAUUAUUAAAUGAUUUAUGUAUAUUAUAAUAUAUAUUAAUUUUAUUACUCUUGAGUUUUUGUAUGAAUAUAGCUUUUGAUGCUAAUAUGGUGUUAAAUAAUAUUUUUGCAGGCUGCAUUUAUUUAUCAAAAAUACAUAAAUUAUAAAUACAAAAAAAUAAUAUUGUGAAAUAUUAUGACUAAAUAUAAUUUUAAAAUAUAUUUAAAAAAAUAUUAUAAUUUAAAAUAUAAUAUAAUAUUAUAAUUUUAAAAAACUGUUUUGUAUUUUAAUAUAUUUUAAAUUCUAAUUUAUUCCAGUAAUGGCAAAGCUGAUUUUUUUUUUAGUCCAGUCUUCAGUGUCACAUGAUCCUUCAGAAAUCCUUCUAAUAUGCCAUUCUAAUAUGCUCAAGUAACAAUUCUUAUUAUUAUCAUUGUCGAAAACAGUUGUGCUGAUUAAUAUUUUUGCUUUGAUGAGUAGAAUGUACAAAAGAACAGCAUUUAUUUAAAAUUUUUUGUAACAUUAUAAAUGUCUUUGUUAUAACUUUUGAUCAAUUUAAUGCAUCCUUGCUGAGUAAAAGUAUUAUUUCUUACCCCAAACUUAUGAACAGUAGUGUUCUUACUACUAUUCUCAAGGUCUUACAACUUGAGUUGUGGUUUCAACUGAUAUUUUCUACAGCCCAACUCUUACGCAGCUCAACCAUAAUGAGUCAUUUGUAUAAUUUCUGUGAAUUUCUUCUUCCAGGUAGAGCACAAGUAUACACGUUCUCCUGCUCUCUCAGAUUGUCAGGGACUUAACAUCCUUUGUUGCCAUGACAGCGAGACUGGAAAGGCUAUUUUUUGUGUUCUAUUGUGUUGUCUGGGUUUUUGGAGACGUUAGUGUGGGUGACCAAAUGUUCUGUCUGAGUAUGUAAAUGCUGAAGAGAAUGAAAGGCUCAGAGAUUUUAUGGUGUGUAGCAAAAAACUAAAAAAAAAUUAACAUUUGUAAUAAAAAAAACUAAAAUAUG